UACGAAGGGUGCAAGCGUUACUCGGAUUUACUGGGCGUAAAGAGCGCGCAGGCGGUCGUGCAAGUCGCGUGUGAAAGCCCCCGGCUCAACUGGGGAGGGUCACGCGAUACUGCUCGACUCGAAGGCAGGAGAGGGAAGUGGAAUUCCCGGUGUAGUGGUGAAAUGCGUAGAUAUCGGGAGGAACACCAGUGGCGAAGGCGACUUCCUGGCCUGUUCUUGACGCUGAGGCGCGAAAGCUAGGGUAGCAAACGGG
rnacentral:rRNA from 1 species